CAGUAGCCGCGGUAAAACGGAGGGGGCUAGCGUUAUUCGGAAUUACUGGGCGUAAAGCGCACGUAGGCGGAUCAGAAAGUCAGAGGUGAAAUCCCAGGGCUCAACCUUGGAACUGCCUUUGAAACUCCUGAUCUUGAGGUCGAGAGAGGUGAGUGGAAUUCCGAGUGUAGAGGUGAAAUUCGUAGAUAUUCGGAGGAACACCAGUGGCGAAGGCGGCUCACUGGACCAUUACUGACGCUGAGGUGCGAAAGCGUGGGGAGCAAACAGGAUUAGAUACCCGAGUAGUCCCUGUCUCUUAUAC
rnacentral:rRNA from 1 species